UACGGAGGGUGCAAGCGUUAUCCGGAUUCACUGGGUUUAAAGGGUGCGUAGGUGGGCAGGUAAGUCAGUGGUGAAAUCUCCGGGCUUAACUCGGAAACUGCCGUUGAUACUAUUUGUCUUGAAUAUUGUGGAGGUAAGCGGAAUAUGUCAUGUAGCGGUGAAAUGCUUAGAUAUGACAUAGAACACCAAUUGCGAAGGCAGCUUACUACACAACGAUUGACGCUGAGGCACGAAAGCGUGGGGAUCAAACAGG
rnacentral:rRNA from 1 species